rnacentral:rRNA from 1 species
AACGAACGCUGGCGGCGUGCUUAACACAUGCAAGUCGAACGGGCUCUUCGGAGCUAGUGGCGGACGGGUGAGUAAUACAUAGGAAAUCUGCCUUUAAGUGGGGGACAACACUCCGAAAGGAAUGCUAAUACCGCGUAAUGUCAUUGGUUGAAAAUACUGAUGAAGAAAGAUUUAUCGCUUUUAGAGGAGCCUAUGCUUGAUUAGCUAGUUGGUGGGGUAAAAGCCUACCAAGGCGAACGAUCAAUAGCUGGUCUGAGAGGACGAUCAGCCA